rnacentral:tRNA from 1 species
UGCCCCUUAGCCAAGCGGCAAGGCAACGGUCUUUGACACCGUGAUCCCUGGUUCGAAUCCAGGAGGGGCAGCCA